CGGCGUGUAGCUCAACAGCCAGAGCGCCCGGCUUGGGACCGGGAAGGUGCGGGGGCAGGACCCGCCACGCCGG
rnacentral:tRNA from 1 species